rnacentral:rRNA from 1 species
UACGGAGGAUCCGAGCGUUAUCCGGAUUUAUUGGGUUUAAAGGGUGCGUAGGUGGCCUUUUAAGUCAGGGGUGAAAGACGGUAGCUCAACUAUCGCAGUGCCCUUGAUACUGAUGGGCUUGAAUGAACUAGAGGUAGGCGGAAUGUGACAAGUAGCGGUGAAAUGCAUAGAUAUGUCACAGAACACCAAUUGCGAAGGCAGCUUACUAUGGUUUUAUUGACACUGAGGCACGAAAGCGUGGGGAUCAAACAGG